UACAGAGGUCCCAAGCGUUGUUCGGAUUCAUUGGGCGUAAAGGGUGCGUAGGUGGCGCCGUAAGUCAGGUGUGAAAUCUCGGGGCUUAACUCCGAAACUGCAUUUGAUACUGCGGUGCUUGAGGACUGGAGAGGAGACUGGAAUUUACGGUGUAGCGGUGAAAUGCGUAGAUAUCGGGAGGAACACCUGAGGCGAAGGCGGGCUACUGGGCCGAUACUGACGCUGAGGCGCGAAAGCCAGGGGAGCAAACGGG
rnacentral:rRNA from 1 species